UGUAGGAAAGUGGAAGCAGCCAGUAUAUUUUGAGUUUGACCAGAAAAUGACUAAAGCGAUCAUAUUUGACAUUAGUAAAAGAGUAGGACAGUGUAACUUUAACGUCGUGGCAGUGGUAAGCGAUCUGGGAGGUGGAAACCGCGGAUUGUUUACAGAAAUAGGAGUAACAACAGAAAAUCCCUGGUACUAAUGGCCGAAGCCAAAGACGAAGUUCGGUCGUUCUCUAGUUAUGACGAAUAAGAAAUUCUCUUCUACAGGUUUUUGUACGAAAAUGAAAAGGUGUUUGCUUUCGCGGAUGUUCCCCACCUUAUUAAAUUAGUUAGGAACAACUUUUUGGAUCAUGGGUUCCGGAUAGAUGGAAAGGUGUUACCAAAGGCCUUAUAGAGAAAAUUUUAUCUCUCACAUCAACGGACGUUACUAUCACCCACAAAAUUGCAGCAAAACAUCUUCGCGUUUACGGUACCGAACGGCAAAAGGUAUCACUUGCAACAAAAUUGUUUUCUCACACGAUGGUAUGGGUGGCUUAAACGGUGAAAAUUGGAAAGAAUUGUCACGGUUAUUAAAAGGUACAAAUGAUUAGUUCGAUGUUCUCAAUGUGCGGGUUCCAAAAGAUGGUUGUCGAGAAUGGUGUCAUGGGUUUGGAUUGGCGCUUGACAAGCAGAUGUCAAUUUUAAGCCAAAUGGACGAGCUUAUAAAGCAACUCCGAGUAAUUGGAAAAUAUACUUUGCUGGCUUUUCAAAAAGGUAUUUUGCAAACAAACAAUGCUGUACGUCUGCUUUACACAGAAUUGAAGCAAAAAUACGGACUGAACUACAUACUGACCUAUAGACUGAACCAAGACAUAAUUUAAAACUUGUUUGGCCUUAUUCGAACCUUAACAACCACCCCGACCGCGAAGAGUUCCGGUUCCGGCUGCGUAACUAUUUGCUUGGAUGUAACCAAGACGCCUUGUCAAGCAACACAAACAUGCAACCAGACAACACUCCCGAUUUGGAAUCUAUUGAAAGUCCCCUUACUGGUAAUCCCUCUACGUGUAUGGCUUCUUUUAGUUCACAUCCAACUUGAUUUAAAGGAAUACUUCCACGUUCAUUUUCCAAGGAAAUAGAGAUUGGCACGAAAGAGCCGCCGACAGAUGAAGAAGAAUCUUUGGAGAUAGACGGCUUAUAGCACCUAGCCGGAUACAUCUGCUUCAGACUAAAAAAUCAAGAGCCUGAUUUGAUUGACACCAGCCAGGCCACAUUCUCGUGGGUAGAUCAUGUAUCUGAAGGAGGCUUAACCAAACCCACAGGAUGUAUGUUAGAGCACAUGACAGCCCUGAACACAAUUUUUAAGGAGACAAAUCGA